rnacentral:rRNA from 1 species
GCAGCAGUGGGGAAUAUUGGACAAUGGGCGAAAGCCUGAUCCAGCAACGCCGCGUGAGGGAUGACGGCCUUCGGGUUGUAAACCUCUUUCAGCACAGACGAAGCGCAAGUGACGGUACGUGCAGAAGAAGCACCGGCCAACUACGUGCCAGCAGCCGCGGUAAUACGUAGGGUGCGAGCGUUGUCCGGAAUUAUUGGGCGUAAAGGGCUCGUAGGCGGUUUGUCGCGUCGGGAGUGAAAACUCGGGGCUUAACUCCGAGCCUGCUUCCGAUACGGGCAGACUAGAGGUAUGCAGGGGAGAACGGAAUUCCUGGUGUAGCGGUGAAAUGCGCAGAUAUCAGGAGGAACACCGGUGGCGAAGGCGGUUCUCUGGGCAUUACCUGACGCUGAGGAGCGAAAGUGUGGGGAGCGAACAGGAUUAGAUACCCUGGUAGUCCACACCGUAAACGUUGGGCGCUAGGGGUGGGGGGGGUAACCCCAUUCCG